CAGGGAUGUGCUGAUGGGACGCGACGAUGAGGAAGAGGCGAGGAAGGAGGGAUCUGCUGAUGGGACGCGACGAUGAGAAAGAGGCGGACUCUGUGUGUGCUGGGUGGAUGCAUGGCUGAGAAAGCAAGGGAGGAGCAGAGAGGAUGAUGGCUCUUAGGCUGGACACAGUGGAUGUUGAGGGAGGACCAGAGAGGAUGAUGGCUCUUAGGCUGGACAGAGUGAAUGCUUAGGUUCACCCGAGGGCAGUCCGUGAAUACCAGGUCAGCCAGAAGCAGAAGUUCGCCUCACCUGUACUGUAACCUGAGCAAGAUGGCUUUGGGGUAUACAUCUCUGGUCCACUAUGUUUGUUAACCCGUCUGCUGCGAUUGGCACAGAUAUUGCCUUCACUGGUAGCCUGGUAACUUAUACUCCUGGGUCUUUCUCUGCCUCUGUGGUGGAUAGUGGAGUGUUUCCCAUGUGGUAUUGGUAUGCUGGAUUAAGUGGAUAUCCCCUCCCAAGGUGCAGGACUUUACGUUUUUAUUCCACUCCUGUAGCUUGGUGAUGUCCUCUUGUAGGAAAUCCACAGUCAAGGGGUUAAGUUGCUUGCACCCUUCCAGUCAACACUCACGUUAGGUGGGAGGAAACUAUUGUAAAAAAAAUGGGUAUACAAUGAGAAUCAGAGUAAUUUGGUAACCAAUCUUUAUUCUAACAAAAUUUCAUCUGAAUACUUCAAAUCAGUUUUCUGGAGUGUUUAUUUUCCCUGAUAUAAGUAAGUACUAAUUGUCAGUGUCUACAAAUUGGUGAACAUGCCGUACUUCAGACAAGGUAUUAAUAUAAAUUCAGUGCUGGGUGUUUAUAGUCUACUGUAUGUGUAUUCUGUAUCCAUGUUUGUUUCUGUAAAUAAAAUCUGAAUUUA